GAACGUCGUGAGACAGUUCGGUCCCUAUCUGCCGUGGGCGCUGGAGAACUGAGGGGGGCUGCUCCUAGUACGAGAGGACCGGAGUGGACGCAUCACUGGAUGUUCGGGUUGUCAUGCCAAUGGCACUGCCCGGUAGCUAAAUGCGGAAGAGAUAAGUGCUGAAAGCAUCUAAGCACGAAACUUGCCCCGAGAUGAGUUCUCCCUGAGACUUAGAGUCUCCUGAAGGAACGUUGAAGACGACGACGUUGAUAGGCCGGGUGUGUAAGCGCAGCGAUGCGUUGAGCUAACCGGUACUAAUGAACCGUGAGGCUUAACCUUACAACGCCGAAG
rnacentral:rRNA from 1 species